AAUCAAAGUGGUUAGCGGAUUUUUAUACCGCUUGACCCGAACACGGAUAUGGUAACACAUUUAUGGCACAUGACAAGUAAUAACUAUAAUAUAACUAUAUGUAAAUAUUUAUCCUGACCUGUAUUUUUAUAUGACUGUUACACGAACAUUUAACCAUUCGGUACCAUUACCACGGUUAUAUUAACUAGUAUGCGGUCAAAAGUGAAUUUACGCGAUUCACAAAUCUCUUAUUACGCUAUCCUAUCCAUAAUUAUUUCCCUAUACACUAAUAAUAUCAUUUAAUACGUAUAUAGAUAUAUUU